AGAGCACUUCCUGCCAAUGCCAUCUUAAAUCAGUUCCAGCCUGCAGCGGGUGGCUACUUUGUGCCAGCAGUCCCACAGGCUCAGGGAAGGCCUCCAUAUUAUACACCUAACCAGUUAGCACAGAUGAGGCCUAAUCCACGCUGGCAGCAAGGUGGGAGACCUCAAGGCUUCCAAGGAAUGCCAAGUGCUAUACGCCAGUCUGGGCCUCGUCCAACUCUUCGUCAUCUGGCUCCAACUGGUAAUGCUCCGGCCUCUCGUGGCCUCCCUACUACCACUCAGAGAGUCGGUGAGCAAACUGGCCUUUAGAAGUGUGGCCUGGGGAGGAGGGAGUCAGGAUGACUAGGCUCUGCCCUGGGUUGGUCAGUUUGUUGGGCUCGAAUUUAUCGAGUCCUGGUUCUGUAAUCUUAGCUGCGUGCUUAGGUGGCCACUUCAGGAGCAGAGAAACAGUAUGAGUUCUAGGUGUGUCAGUUGCUUUU
rnacentral:sRNA from 1 species